GAUGCUUGUGAUUUAGAAGAUUACAGUAGCACAACUUAUCUCAAGGAUCUCAAUCGUCAUAUGCAGCUCGUUAUGGAGUAAUGUUUUGAUCUUGAUAUCAUCGAGUCUCAUCUCAUAUCAUCAAUCAAUCGAUAUUCUGCCAUCUGCUGCUCUUAGUUAUUCCUCUACUUGUUCUUCUUUUUGUACAUAUAUCUUGUAAAAUCAAGAGUUCAAUCCAG
rnacentral:misc_RNA from 1 species